AUACAAAUCACCUGGGGAUCUUGUUAACAUAUAGAUUCUGAUUCAAUAGGCCCAAGAAUCUGCAUUUCUAGAAGCUCCCAGGUGAUGCCAAA
rnacentral:pre_miRNA from 1 species